GAGAAUGUACCAAGAUUACCUUGUUGAAAAUCUAACUUAUGGCUCGAACUUGUUUCAACAUAGGUUCAAGAUAAAUCGACCACUAUUUCUUCCGCAUAAUGAAAGUUUGUGGAACAACAUGAUGAUUACUUCGAGCAGAAGAGAAAUGCAGCUCAACUCAUCAAUAAGGGAUAAGUUGUUUUCAAAAGGUUAUUGCAGUUUUCCGUGUGCUAACUUAUAGAGUGGCAGCUGAUGCUACAGAUGAGUACGUACGCAUUGGAGAAAGUACUGCGCUGGAAAGUCUAAGAAUGUUUGUUAAAGCUGUAAUAGAAGUUUUUGGAGUUGAGUAUUUGAGGUCACCAAAUGAAAAAGAUAUCGAACAAUUACUUGCACUUGGUAAUGAAAGAUGUUUUCCUGGUAUGCUGGUUUCACUAGAUGGCAUGCAUUGGAGGCGGAAGAACCGUAUGCCAUUGUUGCAAGGUCAAUUUUUCGGGCAUCGCCAUACACCUACAAUAAUUUUAGAAGCAGUUGCUUUGCUAGAUUUAUAGAUUUCGCAUGCUUUUUUGUUUGCCUGGAUCUCUCAACAAUAUCAAUGUUCUUCAUCGG